rnacentral:rRNA from 1 species
AUUGAACGCUGGCGGAAUGCUUUACACAUGCAAGUCGAACGGUAGAGGGGGCAACCCCUCGAGAGUGGCGAACGGGUGAGUAAUAUAUCGGAACGUGCCCCGUCGUGGGGGAUAACGUAGCGAAAGUUACGCUAAUACCGCAUACGAUCUAAGGAUGAAAGCGGGGGAUCGCAAGACCACGCGCUAUUGAAGCGGCGGAGAUCAGAUUAGGUAGUUGGUGGUGUAAAGGCUCACCAAGCCAACGAUCUGUAGCUGGUCUGAGAGGACGACCAGCCACACUGGAACUGAGACACGGUCCAGACUCCUACGGGAGGCAGCAGUGGGGAAUUUUGGACAAUGGACGCAAGUCUGAUCCAGCCAUUCCGCGUGCAGGAUGAAGGCCCUCGGGUUGUAAACUGCUUUUGUACGGAACGAAAAGGUCUCUCUUAAUACGGGGGGCUCAUGACGGUACCGUAAGAAUAAGCACCGGCUAACUACGUGCCAGCCGCCGCCGUAA